rnacentral:rRNA from 1 species
UACCGUGAGGGAAAGGUGAAAAGUACCCCUGGCGGGGAGUGAAAUAGUACCUGAAACCGUGUGCCUACAAUCCGUCGGAGCCCAGCCGCCCUUGUGGUGUGGGGGUGACGGCGUGCCUUUUGAAGAAUGAGCCUGCGAGUUUGCGUUGUGUGGCGAGGUUAACCCGUGUGGGGCAGCCGUAGCGAAAGCGAGUCCGAAUAGGGCGUUUUUAGUCGCACGAUCAAGACCCGAAGCGAAGUGAUCUAUCCAUGGGCAGGUUGAAGCGCGGGUAAGACCGCGUGGAGGACCGAACCCACUUAGGUUGAAAACUGAGGGGAUGACCUGUGGAUAGGGG